UUCAAUUGAUCUUCAUUGUAAAGCUUCACUGUGAAUUCUAAUGAGAGGUUUCCAGAAUUCUCAAUGAUUCUCCUUUGCGUGUGCAUCUGUUGAUUAGUUUGACAUGGUAUCAUAGCUAUUCACGCAAUUCUAAGAAUCACAACUUUCUGUUAAAAGCUCGAAGGUUAAAGAAUAAUGACGAAGAAGAUCGAUCAUGACCAUUCUUUGUAUAUUACCCCUUCUGAUGGACCAAGAGUUGUGCAAAUCGGGAUACAGCUCAUCGGAAUGGAGAAUUACACUUUAUGGAGUCAUGCCAUGUAACUGAAUUUGCUCAUGAAGAACAAAUUGGGGUUUAUCGAUGACAGCAUCAAGAGAGAUGAUUUCAAGGACGAAAGUGAGAAGAUUGGGACAGGUACAAUGCGAUGGUUCUCUCAUGGAUUAUGAGCAAUGUUAGCAAGGAACUAGUUAGUGGAAUCCUUUUUCGCUCAAAUGCAUCUCUCGUGUGGUCAGAUCUGAAAGAAUGAUUUGAUAAGGUUAAUAUGUCCAGAAUUUUUAUCUACACAAAGCCAUAGUCCCACAUACUCUAGGUAUUUCUCUUGUUUCUGUCUAUUACUCACAAUUAAAAGACCUAUGGUAUGAAUUUGAUUCAAUAGUAAGCUCUUCAUCCUGCGAUGUGAAUUAUCAAAGGAAUACACUGAUAGUAUGAGUAGAUAAAAGCUGUUACAAUUUCUCAUGGGCUUGAAUGAUAGUUAUAUGGAUAGGCUCGAAGUCAAAUUCUUAUGAUGAAUCGACCACCUAGUGUAAAUCAGUGUUAUGCUUUAAUUGUAUAAGAUGAGAGUCAGCGAGCCUUAAGUGGUGAGUAUCAUGGAGGAGGUGCCAGUACUGAUUCCACUACAUUACUGACUAGUAGAUUUGGAGGUUUUAGCUUUGGAGGAUCAGAUUCUAGAGGAAGGGGAGGAAGAGGUUAUGGUCAUGUUCAUCGACAACAAAGAGGAGGUGGACCUUAUUGUGAUCAUUGUGCGAUGAAAGGACACACUAGAGAGGAUUAUAACAAGUUGAAACAUUGUACUCAUUGCAAUAUACAAGGUCAUACAAAGGAAAUUUGUUAUCAGUGGAUUGGAUAUCCUCCGGAUUAGGAAGAAAAGAAAAGAGUUCACAUGGUUCAAGCAUCAAAUGGAUCACAAGCAGAAGAAAUGAAUACUCCCUAGAUGUAAGGCUGCAGAGGAAUAGAAGUUUGCAGUACAAUUAUUAUUCUCAGCCUGGAACAAGUACUGAAGUUGGAUUUGUUCCAUAUUUCACACCUAACCAGUACAAUCAAAUUUUGCAAAUGCUAAACAAAUCAAAUAUAAUGAGUCAAGUGCAAACAUGGAAGGUAUAUUUGCAGAUCUCUUCACUAGGAAAGUGAAAGACAUUGGUAAAAAAGAGGAUGGACUGAAUUUUUUGAAGACUCAAAAUCAAACUCCAGCACAAGAAGCAAGGCCACUAGUGGCAGCAAAAAGAGGCUCACUCCUCAGAUGUUUUGUAGAAUAGUGUGCUCAUGUCCCAGACACUAUGGGUGGUGAACUAGAUAUGGAGCCUUCCUCUAGAUCUAUGGAGGACAAGACAAUUUCUCCAACUACUAUACAUGAAGAUGACAUUGUAGACCAUAUAAUUUCACCAAUUGUGUCAGAGAUUGAACCUACUCAUGUUGUUCAAGAAGAUGGAGGGAACAAGUGGUCCAUCCUAGUGACAUACCACAACAUGUGCAGAGAAGAUCAGUCAGAGCAAGCAAGGCUCCAAUCUAGCAGAAGGAUUUUGUUAUUUCAGGAAAUCCUAAACAAUCAAAUUUCAUUUUGGACAGUAUUGAUUAUAUGUCUUUCAAAGUCAUAUCAAUGUUACAUUGUCAAUUCUUUAGUGGAAAGUGAACUAAAUACUUACCAUGCUGCUAUGCAUGAUGACAGAUGGAUUCAAGCCAUGAAGAAAGAGAUUAAAGCACUUAAAGAUAACAAGAUAUAGGAACUUGUUACAUUACCUCCUGAUAAGAAGGCUAUUGAAUGCAAGUGGGUGUACAAAAUUAAAUACAAAGCUGAUGGAAAAAUUGAGAGAUUUAAGGCCAGAUUAGUAACCAAGGGGUAUAACCAAAAGGAGGGCUUGGAUUAUCAGAAAAUAUUUUCUCCUGUGGUCAAAAUGGUCACUGUUAGGACAAUACUAUCUAUUGCUGCAAAAAAGGGUUGGAAUGUCCUAUAGAUGGAUGUUUAUAAUGCCUUCUUGCAGAGAGAUCUGAUAGAAGAAGUGUACAUGCAAUUGCCUCAGAGGUUUCAGCACACUAAAGAAGAACAGGGUCUAGUAGUAAACUACUUAAGUCACUCUAUGGACUCAAGUAGGAUUCCAGGCAAUGGAAUGUCAAGUUGACCAAUACUUUGCUUGCAAUAGGAUUUCAGCAAAGUCAUUUUGACUAUUCCCUCAUGACUAAGAAAGUUGGUGAUGAUAUUGUAGCAAUACUCAUAUAUAUGGAUAAUCUCCUUGUGACAGGAAGUAACAGUCUAUACCAGAAGGUCAAUAAUUGGUUAUUUGAUCAAGUAUGGCAAUUCACCAAUCUCAUGGAAGUCUAAGAAACAAUCCAUGAUUUCUAGGAGCUCAGCAGAGGCAGAAUAUAAGAGUCUUGCCUCCACUGUUGCAGAGGUCACUUGGAUCAUAGGCUUGUUCAAUACAUUUGAUAUACCAUUGACCUUACCUGUUCCUUUGCAUUAUUCUAAUAAAGAAGCUAUCCAAAUAGUUGUUAACCCUGUUUUUCAUGAACGAACGAAGCACAUCGAUAUUGAUUGUUAUUUUAUUCGAGAAAAGGUCCUGAAAGGUCUUGUGAGCAUCCAAUACUUAUGCUGUUCUGAGCAGCCUGCAGAUGUUCUUAUUAAAGGCCUUGGUAGGAUUCAACACUCCUAUUUGGUAUCCAAGCUAGGAAUGAAGAAUAUCUUCAUAUCACCUAGCUUGAAGGGGGCUAUUAGAGAAUAUAACAAGGAAAUAGCAAAUAGUUGAUUCAUAGCCAGCUGUCCCAGUUAGUUAUUUAGUUAGCUAUAGUUAGUUAGUUAGCUAGUUGUCACUAUUAUGAUAGUUUGUUAGAAGAUAUUUUUUACUGAUUGAUGUAUGUAUAUAGAUGCAUAGGAACUGAUUCAUUCAUUCAAUUGAUCUUCAUUGUAAAGCCUCACUGUGAAUUCUAAUGAGAGGUUUCCAGAAUUCUCAAUGAUUCUCCUUUGUGUGUGCAUCUGC